rnacentral:rRNA from 1 species
GAUGAACGCUGGCGGCGUGCCUAAUACAUGCAAGUCGAGCGAACGGACGAGAAGCUUGCUCCUCUGAUGUUAGCGGCGGACGGGUGAGUAACACGUGGAUAACCUACCUAUAAGACUGGGAUAACUUCGGGAAACCGGAGCUAAUACCGGAUAAUAUUUUGAACCGCAUGGUUCAAAAGUGAAAGACGGUCUUGCUGUCACUUAUAGAUGGAUCCGCGCUGCAUUAGCUAGUUGGUAAGGUAACGGCUUACCAAGGCAACGAUGCAUAGCCGACCUGAGAGGGUGAUCGGCCACACUGGAACUGAGACACGGUCCAGACCCCUACGGGAGGCAGCAGUAGGGAAUCUUCCGCAAUGGGCGAAAGCCUGACGGAGCAACGCCGCGUGAGUGAUGAAGGUCUUCGGAUCGUAAAACUCUGUUAUUAGGGAAGAACAUAUGUGUAAGUAACUGUGCACAUCUUGACGGUACCUAAUCAGAAAGCCACGGCUAACUACGUG